CAACCCAUGGAAAAAAUAUGGUAAUGAGGUCAUAAUGAGGUUUGACGUCAUGACAGUUGCUCCGCCCUGAUUGAUCCUUAUAAGGAAAUAGAGCUCGAAAUAACUAUUUACCGAUAUUUGCAAGAAUUUGUAACAAACGGCAAUAUUUCCAUGUCUAAAUAAAUAAUUAUUAGUGAUUUUCUCCUAUAUAGAAUGGCAUGUUUUUAAAAUAAUCCGAUUUCUUAUGUGCCGUUUGGCUGCAUUCGGCUUCAGCCAAGCGCUUGCACUCGAUCACACGGAAUGUUGUUUACAUCUAAAACGUGGCGACAUCAGCUGAGAUAUGCAGUGGAUUUAUAUGCAAUAAUCAGACAUUCUUUAAAGAAUUAGGGAUAAGAUAAGUGACAAGGCAUUGUUUAUCCCUAUUACGAGAAUGUGAGGACAUUAUUACCGAAAAUAAUGGAAGAGUGAGACGAUCUGCACCAGCUCCCUAGAUCCAUCAAUGCAAUGCAUUCAGCCCAGCAGUCAAGGGGUCCAGGCUUGAAGUAUAAAUAAAUACAAAAUGCAUCCAUUUCUCCACAGGAUAUUCCUAAAGAAUUAGACCAAUGGAAUCAUUCAUGAUCAGGUAGCAAGUUAAUCCAUGAUGUAAGGAAAAUGAAUUGAUUUCAUCCACAAGAACAUGAAGUGAUGGAAAAAAAAUUGCAGACCCCCCCCCUCCCCCCAGUAUUCCUUGUACAGUCUAUUUUAAUUUGAAAAGCUGUUUAUGAAAUAAAAUUUC